UACGUAGGGUGCAGACGUUAAUCGGAAUUACUGGGCGUAAAGCGUGCGCAGGCGGUUUGCUAAGAGAGAUGUGAAAUCCCCGGGCUUAACCUGGGAACUGCGUUUCUAACUGGCAGGCUAGAGUGUGGCAGAGGGGGGUGGAAUUCCACGUGUAGCAGUGAAAUGCGUAGAGAUGUGGAGGAACACCGAUGGCGAAGGCAGCCCCCUGGGCUAACACUGACGCUCAUGCACGAAAGCGUGGGGAGCAAACAGG
rnacentral:rRNA from 1 species